rnacentral:rRNA from 1 species
CCUACGGGAGGCAGCAGUGAGGAAUAUUGGUCAAUGGACGCAAGUCUGAACCAGCCAUGCCGCGUGCAGGAAGACGGUCCUAUGGAUUGUAAACUGCUUUUAUACGGGAAGAAACCCUGCUACGUGUAGCAGCUUGACGGUACCGUAAGAAUAAGGAUCGGCUAACUCCGUGCCAGCAGCCGCGGUA